rnacentral:rRNA from 1 species
AUGCUGCAGCCCAUCAAGACAACAUGGAACAGCAAAGGUGGAGUACAAGUGAUCACUGAUAAUGCACCCAACUGCAGAGCAGCGGAGCUGCUGGUAGAGCUGAAGUUCUCUCAUAUUUUCUGGACCCCAUGUGUCGUCCAUAUUUUGAAUCUUGUGUUGAAGAACAUAGCUACAGCCAAGAUCGAGGAAGACUCCCAGUAUGAACAAUGCAAUUGGAUCAGUGACAUUGCAGCAGAUGCCAAUAUGAUAAAGAACUUCAUAAUGAAUCACUGCAUGAGGUUAUCUAUGUUUAAUGAGUUCAGCGAGUUGAAACUUCUUUCUAUUGCUGAAACAACCUACUUAUCUAUGAUCCGUGCUGCUGACAUAGGUAAACCAUGUCUUCUUUCAUAUAUGAGAUGUGGGAUAGUAUGA